UACGGAGGGGGCGAGCGUUAUUCGGAAUUAUUGGGCGUAAAGGGCGCGUAGGCGGCCCGGUAAGUCAAAGGUGAAAUCCCUCGGCUCAACUGAGGAACUGCCUUUGAAACUGUCGGGCUUGAGGCCGGGAGGGGGUAGCGGAAUUCCCAGUGUAGAGGUGAAAUUCGUAGAUAUCGAGAGGAACAUCGGUGGCGAAGGCGGCUUUCUGGACGAUUACUGACGCUGAGACGCGAAAGCGUGGGGAGCAAACAGG
rnacentral:rRNA from 1 species